rnacentral:lncRNA from 1 species
GCAAAGACAGAGAGAGAGAUCCAAACUCGGAGGGGAUCUUGUCCUCCGGGAGCCAUGUCGGCCAUGGACCAGAGGGGAGACUCUCCUCCCAUCUAGGAGGGAGACCAAGGAAUAAGAAGAAGGAGGGUGACUCUCUCCUUAAUGCCAUAUAUUAUUAUCCAAUGAUGUGUUGGAAAUAUGCCCUAGAGGCAAUAAUAAAG